CCUANGGGUGGCAGCAGUAGGGAAUAUUGGGCAAUGGGCGAAAGCCUGACCCAGCAACGCCGCGUGCACGAUGAAGGCCUUCGGGUCGUAAAGUGCUUUUCUGGGAGAUGAGAAAGGACAGUAUCCCAGGAAUAAGCCUCGGCUAACUACGUGCCAGCAGCCGCGGUAAAACGUAGGAGGCAAGCGUUAUCCGGAUUUACUGGGCGUAAAGCGCGUGUAGGCGGUUCGGCAAGUUGGAUGUGAAAUCUCCCGGCUCAACUGGGAGGGGUCGUUCAAUACUACCGGACUUGAGGGCAUCAGAGGAAGGUGGAAUUCCCGGUGUAGUGGUGAAAUGCGUAGAUAUCGGGAGGAACACCAGUGGCGAAGGCGGCCUUCUGGGAUGCAUCUGACGCUCAGACGCGAAAGCUAGGGGAGCGAACGGGAUUAGAUACCCCANUANUC
rnacentral:rRNA from 1 species